GAAUGCUGACAUAAGUAACGAUAAAGCGGGUGAAAAGCCCGCUCGCCGGAAGACCAAGGGUUCCUGUCCAACGUUAAUCGGGGCAGGGUGAGUCGACCCCUAAGGCGAGGCCGAAAGGCGUAGUCGAUGGGAAACGGGUUAAUAUUCCCGUACUUGGUGUUACUGCGAAGGGGGGACGGAGAAGGCUAUGUUGGCCGGGCGACGGUUGUCCCGGUUUAAGCGUGUAGGUGUGUGUUCCAGGUAAAUCCGGUUCACUUUAACACUGAGGCGUGAUGACGAGGCACUACGGUGCUGAAGCAACAAAUGCCCUGCUUCCAGGAAAAGCCUCUAAGCAUCAGGUAACAUCAAAUCG
rnacentral:rRNA from 1 species